rnacentral:rRNA from 1 species
AGAGACAGGGCGUAGGCGAUGGAUAACAGGUUGAUAUUCCUGUACCACCUAGUAUCGUUUUAAUCGAUGGGGGGACGCAGUAGGAUAGGCGAAGCGUGCUGUUGGAGUGCACGUCCAAGCAGUAAGGCUGAGUGUUAGGCAAAUCCGGCACUCAUAAGGCUGAGCUGUGAUGGGGAGAGGAAAUUGUUUCCUCGAGUCGUUGAUUUCACACUGCCGAGAAAAGCCUCUAGAUAGAUAACAGGUGCCCGUACCGCAAACCGACACAGGUAGUCAAGAUGAGAAUUCUAAGGUGAGCGAGCGAACUCUCGUUAAGGAACUCGGCAAAAUGACCCCGUAACUUCGGGAGAAGGGGUGCUCUUUAGGGUUCACGCCCAGAAGAGCCGCAGUGAAUAGGCCCAAGCGACUGUUUAUCAAAAACACAGGUCUCUGCUAAACCGUAAGGUGAUGUAUAGGGGCUGACGCCUGCCCGGUGCUGGAAGGUUAAGAGGAGUGGUUAGCUUCUGCGAAGCUACGAAUCGAAGCCCCAGUAAACGGCGGCCGUAACUAUAACGGUCCUAAGGUAGCGAAAUUCCUUGUCGGGUAAGUUCCGACCCGCACGAAAGGCGUAACGAUUUGGGCACUGUCUCAACGAGAGACUCGGUGAAAUCAUAGUACCUGUGAAGAUGCAGGUUACCCGCGACAGGACGGAAAGACCCCGUGGAGCUUUACUGUAGCCUGAUAUUGAAAUUCGGCACAGCUUGUACAGGAUAGGUAGGAGCCUUUGAAACGUGAGCGCUAGCUUACGUGGAGGCGUUGGUGGGAUACUACCCUAGCUGUGUUGGCUUUCUAACCCGCACCACUUAUCGUGGUGGGAGACAGUGUCAGGCGGGCAGUUUGACUGGGGCGGUCGCCUCCUAAAAGGUAACGGAGGCGCUCAAAGGUUCCCUCAGAAUGGUUGGAAAUCAUUCAUAGAGUGUAAAGGCAUAAGGGAGCUUGACUGCGAGACCUACAAGUCGAGCAGGGUCGAAAGACGGACUUAGUGAUCCGGUGGUUCCGCAUGGAAGGGCCAUCGCUCAACGGAUAAAAGCUACCCCGGGGAUAACAGGCUUAUCUCCCCCAAGAGUUCACAUCGACGGGGAGGUUUGGCACCUCGAUGUCGGCUCAUCGCAUCCUGGGGCUGUAGUCGGUCCCAAGGGUUGGGCUGUUCGCCCAUUAAAGCGGUACGCGAGCUGGGUUCAGAACGUCGUGAGACAGUUCGGUCCCUAUCCGUCGUGGGCGUAGGAAAUUUGAGAGGAGCUGUCCUUAGUACGAGAGGACCGGGAUGGACAUACCUCUGGUGUACCAGUUGUCGUGCCAACGGCAUAGCUGGGUAGCUAUGUAUGGACGGGAUAAGUGCUGAAAGCAUCUAAGCAUGAAGCCCCCCUCAAGAUGAGAUUUCCCAACUUCGGUUAUAAGAUCCCUCGAAGAUGACGAGGUUAAUAGGUUCGAGGUGGAAGCGUGGUGACACGUGGAGCUGACGAAUACUAAUCGAUCGAAGACUUAAUCAA